AACGAACGCUGGCGGCAUGCCUAACACAUGCAAGUCGAACGAGACCUUCGGGCCUAGUGGCGCACGGGUGCGUAACGCGUGGGAAGCUGCACUUAGGUUCGGAAUAACUCCCCGAAAGGGGUGCUAAUACCGGAUAAUCUCUUCGGACCAAAGAUUUAUCGCCUUUGGAUGGGGCCGCGUUGGAUUAGCUAGUUGGUAGGGUAAUAGCCUACCAAGGCGAGGAUGCAUAGCUGGUGUGAGAGGAUGAUCCGCCGCGCUAGGACUGCGACCCGGCCCAGACCGGUACGCGAGGCAGCAGUAGGUAGUACUAUGCGAUGAACGAAAGCGUGACACAGCAGUGCGGCGUGAGUGGUGAAGGCGUUAGUGUUCUAAAGCUCUUUUACCCGAGGUGAUAAUGACAGUACCGGGUGAAUAAGCUCCGGCUAACUCCGUG
rnacentral:rRNA from 1 species